rnacentral:rRNA from 1 species
GACGAACGCUGGCGGCGUGCCUAAUACAUGCAAGUAGAACGCUGAAGCGAGGAGCUUUCUCUUCUUGGCUGAGUUGCGAACGGGUGAGUAACGCGUAGGUAACCUGCCUUGUAGCGGGGGAUAACUAUUGGAAACGAUAGCUAAUACCGCAUAACACUGGAUGACACAUGUCAUUUAUUUGAAAGGGACAAUUGCUCCACUACAAGAUGGACCUGCGUUGUAUUAGCUAGUAGGUGAGGUAAUGGCUCACCUAGGCGACGAUACAUAGCCGACCUGAGAGGGUGAUCCGCCACACUGGGACUGAGACACGGGCCAGACUCCUACGGGGGGCAGCAGUAGGGAAUCUUCGGCAAAGGGGGCAACCCUGACCGAGCAACGCCGCGGGGGUGAAGAAGGGUUUCGGAUCGUAAAGCUCUGUUGUAAGGCAAGGACGAGUGUGAGGGUAGAAAGUUCACACUGUGACGGUAGCUAACCAGAAAGGAACGGCUAACUACGUG